GACGAACGCUGGCGGCGUGCCUAAUACAUGCAAGUCGAGCGCGUGAAGCGCCUUCGGGUGUGGAGUGCGCGGCGAACGGGUGAGUAACACGUGGGCAACCUGCCCGCAAGACUGGGAUAAUUCCGGGAAACCGGAGCUAAUACCAGAUACGUCUUCCCUUCGCAUGAAGGGAAGGGAAAGGUCGCUCCGGCGGCCACUUGCGGAUGGGCCCGCGGCGCAUUAGCUAGUUGGUAGGGUAACGGCCUACCAAGGCGACGAUGCGUAGCCGACCUGAGAGGGUGACCGGCCACACUGGGACUGAGACACGGCCCAGACUCCUACGGGAGGCAGCAGUAGGGAAUUUUCCGCAAUGGACGAAAGUCUGACGGAGCAACGCCGCGUGAGUGAGGACGGUCUUCGGAUUGUAAAACUCUGUUCUCUCGGAAGAGCAUCUUAGAGCUGAAUAGGUUCUAAGAUCCGACGGUACGAGAGGAGAAAGCCCCGGCUAACUAC
rnacentral:rRNA from 1 species